AUUGAACGCUGGCGGCAGGCCUAACACAUGCAAGUCGAAUGGUAACAGGAAACAGCUUGCUGUUUCGCUGACGAGUGGCGGACGGGUGAGUAAUGUCUGGGAAACUGCCUGAUGGAGGGGGAUAACUACUGGAAACGGUAGCUAAUACCGCAUAACGUCGCAAGACCAAAGAGGGGGACCUUCGGGCCUCUUGCCACCAGAUGUGCCCAGAUGGGAUUAGCUAGUAGGUGGGGUAACGGCUCACCUAGGCGACGAUCCCUAGCUGGUCUGAGAGGAUGACCAGCCACACUGGAACUGAGACACGGUCCAGACUCCUACGGGAGGCAGCAGUGGGGAAUAUUGGACAAUGGGCGCAAGCCUGAUGCAGCCAUGCCGCGUGUAUGAAGAAGGCCUUCGGGUUGUAAAGUACUUUCAGCGGGGAGGAAGGGAGUAAAGUUAAUACCUUUGCUCAUUGACGUUACCCGCAGAAGAAGCACCGGCUAACUCCGUG
rnacentral:rRNA from 1 species